rnacentral:rRNA from 1 species
UACGUAGGGCGCAAGCGUUAUCCGGAAUUACUGGGCGUAAAGAGCUCGUAGGCGGUUUGUCGCGUCUGCCGUGAAAGUCCGGGGCUCAACUCCGGAUCUGCGGUGGGUACGGGCAGACUAGAGUGAUGUAGGGGAGACUGGAAUUCCUGGGUGUAGCGGUGAAAUGCGCAGAUAUCAGGAGGAACACCGAUGGCGAAGGCAGGGUCUCUGGGCAUUAACUGACGCUGAGGAGCGAAAGCAUGGGGAGCGAACAGGA